CGUGUAGGCGGCUGAAUAAGUCAGAUGUGAAAUCCCUGGGCUUAACCCCAGGACGUGCAUUUGAAACUAUUCAGCUUGAGUAAGGGAGAGGAAAGUGGAAUUCCUGGUGUAGAGGUGAAAUUCGUAGAUAUCAGGAGGAACACCGGUGGCGAAGGCGACUUUCUGGCCCUAUACUGACGCUGAGACGCGAGAGCGUGGGUAGCAAACA
rnacentral:rRNA from 1 species